AAAAAACUGCAACCAUAGAGCAUACUAAGAACAUUUAUCCCUGAAUCGAAUAGAAAGUUCUAAUAUCAGUUGUUGGGAAAAAAUAUAGAAUAGAGAAAAAAGAGGAACACAAUUAUAAAACCAGACAAAAAACCACGACUGUUGUUACUAGACAACCAAAGAAUUACACUAUAUGAAAAUUAUUACAACAUGUAACAUACCCUAAACUAACUCAGGCCC
rnacentral:lncRNA from 1 species